GCGUGCUUUCCAAUGUGUAUAGUUUAUGCCAUUAAAUAGUGGAGGUGUAUCAAUUGAUUGUCCUUCUCCUAGAAAACUAUCUAUUUGAGUUGUCAUGAUCUUUGGCUCUUGAUCAUGAGAUCAAUAAUUAAUCUUAGAGCACCUGCUCUGAUACCACCUGUUGCCCAGUAGAUACAACCCAAGAGGGGGGGUGAAUUGGGUCUUAUAAAACUUUUAAGCUACUUCUAACACUUUUCAAUUAAUUAUGCUAAGUUGUAUAGUUGCACAGUGGAAUUUAAACUUAGCAAUAGGUUGAUUUAUCGAAUGAGACUUGAUUAAGUAAAUUUAAUAUGCUUGCAACUAAAGGAUGAGCGGAUAAGAGUUAAGCAUGCAAUUUAUCUAGGUAAGUAAGUGAGCAAGAUAGACAAUGACAAAAAGCAUCACAAACACAACAAACAUAUAGUGGUUCGGUGCACCCCAGCACCUACAUCCACUUCCCAAGACCUCUUGGGAAUUUCACUAUAAUCCUACAGAUUACAGCUGGUUGUUUUACAAGCUCACAACCCAACUUGUU
rnacentral:lncRNA from 1 species